rnacentral:rRNA from 2 species
UUUUUGGAGAGUUUGAUCUUGGCUCAGGACGAACGCUGGCGGCGUGCCUAAUACAUGCAAGUCGAGCGCGGGAAGCAGGCAGAUCCUCUUCGGAGG